CUCCUACUCCCGUGUCGUCGUCCUUCGCCCUCCCGACCGACCGUCCGGCCGCCGUACCGACCGACCGACUACCUACCCUCGUCGUACGGUCGGUCUAGUGUACGUCGUCGUACGUAGGUAGUAGUAGUCGCUACACGAGCGACGAUACAUAGCCGACCUGAGAGGGUGAUCGGCCACACUGGGACUGAGACACGGCCCAGACUCCUACGGGAGGCAGCAGUAGGGAAUCUUCGGCAAUGGGGGCAACCCUGACCGAGCAACGCCGCGUGAGUGAAGAAGGUUUUCGGAUCGUAAAGCUCUGUUGUAAGUC
rnacentral:rRNA from 1 species